rnacentral:rRNA from 1 species
UAGGGAAUCUUCGGCAAUGGACGAAAGUCUGACCGAGCAACGCCGCGUGAGUGAAGAAGGUUUUCGGAUCGUAAAACUCUGUUGUUAGAGAAGAACAAGGACGUUAGUAACUGAACGUCCCCUGACGGUAUCUAACCAGAAAGCCACGGCUAACUACGUUCCAGCCGCCGCGGUAAUACGUAGGUGGCAAGCGUUGUCCGGAUUUAUUGGGCGUAAAGCGAGCGCAGGCGGUUUCUUAAGUCUGAUGUGAAAGCCCCCGGCUCAACCGGGGAGGGUCAUUGGAAACUGGGAGACGUGAGUGCAGAAGAGGAGAGUGGAAUUCCAUGUGUAGCGGUGAAAUGCGUAGAUAUAUGGAGGAACACCAGUGGCGAAGGCGGCUCUCUGGUCUGUAACUGACGAUGAGGCUCGAAAGCGUGGGGAGCAAACAGG